rnacentral:rRNA from 1 species
AACUUCGUGCCAGCAGCCGCGGUAAUACGAAGGGACCUAGCGUAGUUCGGAAUUACUGGGCUUAAAGAGUUCGUAGGUGGUUGAAAAAGUUGGUGGUGAAAUCCCAGAGCUUAACUCUGGAACUGCCAUCAAAACUUUUCAGCUAGAGUAUGAUAGAGGAAAGCAGAAUUUCUAGUGUAGAGGUGAAAUUCGUAGAUAUUAGAAAGAAUACCAAUUGCGAAGGCAGCUUUCUGGAUCAUUACUGACACUGAGGAACGAAAGCAUGGGUAGCGAAGAGGAUUAGAUACCCUCGUAGUCCAUGCCGUAAACGAUGUGUGUUAGACGUUGGAAAUUUAUUUUCAGUGUCGCAGCGAAAGCGAUAAACACACCGCCUGGGGAGUACGACCGCAAGGUUAAAACUCAAAUGAAUUGACGGGGACCCGCACAAGUAGUGGAGCAUGUGGUUUAAUUCGAAGAUACGCGCAGAACCUUACCAACACUUGACAUGUUCGUCGCGACUUUAAGAGAUUAAAGUUUUCGGUUCGGCCGGACGAAACACAGGUGCUGCAUGGCUGUCGUCAGCUCGUGUCGUGAGAUGUUGGGUUAAGUCCCGCAACGAGCGCAACCCUCACUUUUAGUUGCCAUCAUUAAGUUGGGCACUCUGAAAGAACUGCCAGUGAUAAGCUGGAGGAAGGUGGGGAUGACGUCAAGUCCUCAUGGCCCUUACGUGUUGGGCUACACACGUGCUACAAUGGUAUCUACAACAGGAAGCAAGACUGCGAAGUUAAGCAAAUCCUUAAAAGAUACCUCAGUUCGGAUUGCACUCUGCAACUCGAGUGCAUGAAGCUGGAAUUACUAGUAAUCGUGGAUCAGCGUGCCACGGUGAAU